UGGUUUGAGAGGUUGAAGCUGCCAGCAUGAUCUGGUAAACCACCACACUCUUUUUUUCUCAUCUCAUGCCUAAUUUUUAAAAACUACUCACUAGAGAAAAUAAUGGUGAAAAAUCCAUCUAUUCAGUUUUUUUUUUCGAAUUCAAGGUUCCCAGUAUGUAUCAUUAAUGGUGAAAAAAGUGAUGGAAUUUUGUAAAACAUGUGUUAAGUUUACCUUCUUUUUAUUCUUCUUUUUUUAAGAAAAAGUUUUCGUUUUUAAGUUUUUGAGCCAAGAAUUAAUCCUUAAUUAAAGGAAACCUACCAAAGGGCAAUUUGGUUAUCAUAAGAUGGGGUUUCCAUCAGGUCAUCUUGCAGCUUCAAUCACUCAAUAA
rnacentral:pre_miRNA from 1 species